rnacentral:rRNA from 1 species
AUGCGUUCUCCCAAGCAACCGGCGAAGCUCGCCAUGCUUUUACUGCUGGUAUUGCUGCUGCUCUGUGACGGAGUUGGCAACGUCCAUUGCGCAAGGAUCCACGAGAAAAGCGCCGAUCUGCACGCUCUGCUCGACUUCACCUUGAGUAACUGGAGUACCACAGGCCACUUCUGUCACUGGAAUGGUGUCACAUGCACCACGACACCACCAUUCUGUGUCUCGUCACUUCUUCUCGCCGGCCAAAACUUGGCAGGCCAAAUUAGCUCCUCUCUAGGAAACCUAACUUCCCUCACACAGCUUCACCUUUCGGGGAACUACUUUGUUGGCCCCUUAGGCCAACUCCACCGCGCCACCCCAUCCUGUCUGGCCCUCUUCGUUUGGGGCAAAAGGGAUAAAGUAGGCGGUCCAAUGCGCGAGGUCCCGGACCCAUCCUGUCCGUUUUGUAUCCGGGCCGAUCCAUUUCGAGCGCAAACUUGCGCCGGGUUUGGGCCACGGCAGACACCAAACAGACGCGCGCCUCGUCCGCUUCGGGGCCGCGUGACAGGCGGUCACCUACCUCCCACCCGUCCACAUCAAUGCGCACGAGCGGGCGGCCUCACCUGUCAUCCGCAUGUCGAAUGGUCGCCGUCCUUCUUUAAGUGGGAAGCGCGGACGGGUCGUCGUUCACACUGCCCCACGCCACCCAGCGGCCUCCUCGAACCCUGA